rnacentral:lncRNA from 1 species
CUAUUAUUGAUUUGCAAUAUUUCAGCGAGAGGCAGACUACGCAGCAGCACGGUUGCGUAUCAUGGGAUCUACAUCCAAAUCUGUCGAGGAGCCCAUGUUAACAGGAAAUCCACCUGGAAGUCACCUGAUGAACAUGCACAGAGAACCUCAGAAUAAUGUGGGGGUGGUCAGGACGCCAAAAGGCCCAGACGGAACUGCGGGUUUUGGAAGAGGAACCAGUCUCCAUAGGUAGCAAGACGCCAGGCUAGCUGCCAACAGUUUACCUUAAAAGAAUGAGAAAAACAAAAACUAAUUGAAAGCAAGUUGAAUGAAAAAAAGAAAGAAAUCUACAGGGUUUAAAAGCAAAAGCAAAAUGAGGGCACAUAUCUUCCUCAGCCCAUGCAAAUCUGUGGUCUUGUCUUGAAACUGUGACUUAACUUCUGCAUCACCAGUUGUCUGUGGAUUUCACACGUACACAUACACAAGCACAUACACACACCAUUUUUAUUUCAAGCUGAGCAACUAAAUUUAUUUUGAUUGAACUUAUGCAAUUGGAGAAGGAAAGAGUAGUAACAUCAGUGUUAUUUUUAAAUAACCAACUAUCAUUGGCUUUUUGCUGGUGAAGAAAACCCUCAAAAGAAGAAGUAUAUCUUGCAAACGUGGAACAAGUAGCGAUACCUUAUUUUUUCCUGUCUUUCAUCUUUUUCUCUUUCCCUUUUUUUUUCAUUCCUAGCUAUAGUACCUAUUUAAAUCUUAAGAAUUGCCACUCUAUUGUAGAAGCAGCAAUUUGCUCUAAGAUAUAGGAGAUUUGUAUACCACUUCAAUUCACAAAUCACUUUUUCAAAUCAUGUAAGCAUUCAUCAGUCCAUUAAUUCUCUCUUAAUAAGUGAUGUUAUGUUGAAAGUGUACCUUUAAUUUACUGAGAUUUCUUUUUUUGUGUUUUUUUAUUUUUUUUAAUUGUUUUCACUUCUUUGUAUUUUUUGCUGUAAAAUCACUCCCAAAUUAUUUCCUGUAUCUUGUAAUUUCUUCUUUAACUGAAAUUGCAGCUUUGUCAUCUACUUUAGUGCUUUUCAAUUAAAGCAGUUGCUUCUUGUUUCCCCACAUUUCACUUUACAUAAAUUUUAUCUUUAAUGAUAAUCGCUGGUUCUGAGGAAAAGAAAUAUUGCUUUUUUUUCCUUUUUUUUAAUAUACCCACAAAAGAAUGUUAACAAAAAAGCCCAUUUGGACAUGUUGCUUGCAAUAUCCAGAUAUGCAACAUGUCUUAAACCUGUGACUUUAAUGUUAAUGCCUUGCCAGUAGUUGUUCUGCAGUAUUUUUUUAAUCCUGUCUUUGUAACCUGCCAUGAUCAUGUGCACACAACUCAAUAUUAUGUUUUUUCCCUCUUCAAUAUGCUUCACUGUUAAAAAAGUAGUCCAUAUUUUUAUCGGAAUUGUUUGCUGGUUUCAUUCAGCAAGCAGAUUAAUAUAUCUUCCUGCAGUGUAAAUGCAUAUAUAUAUGUAUAUAUAUGUAUAUAUGUAUUUUGUUUAUAUCUAUCUAUCUAUAUAUAUAUAUAUAUGCAUGUAUACAAAAUAAAUGCCUUAGAUAUAUUUUUAGAAUGAUUUCUAACUGAGGGAUUGUUCUUGUUUGUCCCUGGUACAUCUAAGGCAGCCUUGUAAAUAUGUAGUUACCAUUCACUAGAGAAGGUUUGACAAAUAAACACCAUCCUUUGUUUUAAGGGAUGUCACUGAUAUAGAUGUCAAAGCAUUAUUGCCUUAUGGUUUUUUAGAGAGACCAACAAUCAAAAUUCUUUUUUGAGUAGGAAAGAGAGGUACAUUAAAUGCUUGACAGUUCUUUUACACCCGGCUGCAACAACUUGCCCAUUUGAAGAUUUUUUACCAGAAUGUCCUCAGGCACUAAACUGUUCGUAGAUGGGUUAUAUGAUUUUUUUGGUCUCACUUUCAUUUUUUGUUUGUUUGUUUAUUGCUAUUGCUAAUGUGGUCCUAUAGUGUAUUAUUUUGAAGUCAGGAUUUCCUGUUUAUAACUUUUGGUUCUGAUUUUGCUUUCUUACAAUUUUGUUUUCAUGUCCUUUUUCUCUCAAGAAAAAAUCUCAGCCUAUCUUACCCUUCCCCUCUUGCCUGAAAAAAAAGAAAAAAAAGAAGUUAAUUAGGGAUGGCCUUAAAAAGAAAAAAAAUAUAUAUAUAUUGGAAACUUUUAUGGAAUUAAUUUUUUGUAGUAGGGUUGUCUACUGAUUUUUAUGCCAAGUUUUACGUAGAUUGUUUACCACGCAUUAAAUGAAGAGCGAGUCUGAGUCACACACAGACAAACGU